rnacentral:rRNA from 1 species
GAUGAACGCUGGCGGCGUGCCUAAUACAUGCAAGUCGAGCGAACGGACGAGAAGCUUGCUUCUCUGAUGUUAGCGGCGGACGGGUGAGUAACACGUGGAUAACCUACCUAUAAGACUGGGAUAACUUCGGGAAACCGGAGCUAAUACCGGAUGAUAUUUUGAACCGCAUGGUUCAAAAGUGAAAGACGGUCUUGCUGUCACUUAUAGAUGGAUCCGCGCUGCAUUAGCUAGUUGGUAAGGUAACGGCUUACCAAGGCAACGAUACAUAGCCGACCUGAGAGGGUGAUCGGCCACACUGGAACUGAGACACGGUCCAGACUCCUACGGGAGGCAGCAGUAGGGAAUCUUCCGCAAAGGGCGAAAGCCUGACGGAGCAACGCCGCGUGAGUGAUGAAGGUCUUCGGAUCGUAAAACUCUGUUAUUAGGGAAGAACAAAUGUGUAAGUAACUGUGCACAUCUUGACGGUACCUAAUCAGAAAGCCACGGCUAACUACGUG